rnacentral:misc_RNA from 1 species
AAGUCGUAACAAGGUUUCCGUAGGUGAACCUGCGGAAGGAUCAUUACCAAAGAACAACUGGUUGGGUUGUUGCUGGCCCCCCUCUCCCUGGAGGGGCACUGUGCACGCCUUGCCAAAUUCACUUUGCUCACCUGUGCACCUCCUUGUAGGCCAGGAUCACCAGAGAGGAAGAAGGGGGGGGGGAAACGUGUCUCCUGUCGGAGUGCUCAACUUCUUUCCUUUUGCUUGGUGGAGGGAUCUGCUGUUGUGUCCUCACACGGAAUGGGUAUCUGUGAGAGAACAGAUAUAGACGGCUUUUUCCUUGCUCACGUCUGGCCUAUGCCUUUAUUAAACCUGUAACAUCUGUAUCUGUAUGUGUAUUUGAACAUGUGGGAUAACCACGAUUGUUUUUGAACACCAAUACAACUUUCAACAACGGAUCUCUUGGCUCUC